GCUCAAUUUUGAAUCUGGCGGUCUUUAUGGCCGUCCGAGUUGUAAUCUAGAGAAGCGUUUUCCGCGCUGGCCCGUGUACAAGUCUCCUGGAAAGGAGCGUCCUAGAGGGUGAGAAUCCCGUCUUUGACACGGUCCACCAGUGCUAUGUGAUGCGCUCUCGACGAGUCGAGUUGUUUGGGAAUGCAGCUCAAAACGGGUGGUAAAUUCCAUCUAAAGCUAAAUACAGGCGAGAGACCGAUAGCGAACAAGUACCGUGAGGGAAAGAUGAAAAGAACUUUGGAAAGAGAGUUAAACCGUACGUGAAAUUGCUGAAAGGGAAACGCUUGAUGUCAGUCGCGUCGGCCGGGGAUCAACCUUGCUUCACUGCUCGGCGUAAUUCCUGGUCGACGGGUCAGCAUCGGUUUCGGUCGCCGUACAAGGGCGAGGGGAACGUGGCACUCUUCGGAGUGUGUUAUAGCCCUUCGUCAUAUGCGGUGGUCGGGACCGAGGAACUCAGCACGGCUUCGGUCGGUGCUUUAGGAUGCUGGCAUAAUGGCCUUAAGCGACCCGUCUUGAAACACGGACCAAGGAGUCUAACAUGCCUGCGAGUGUUUGGGUGGAAAACCCGAGCGCGCAAUGAAAGUGAAAGUCGAGACCUUCGUCGUGGAGGGCAUCGACGCCCGGACCCGAGUCUUUGACAAAGGAUCCGCGGUAGAGCAUGCAUGUUGGGACCCGAAAGAUGGUGAACUAUGCCUGAAUAGGGUGAAGCCAGAGGAAACUCUGGUGGAGGCUCGUAGCGAUUCUGACGU
rnacentral:rRNA from 1 species